CAGCCGUAAACAAUGUGCGUUAGGUGUGUCGGUAACCACGUGUUACUGAUGCGCCGAAGAGAAAUCGUGAAACGCACCACCUGGGAAGUACGGUCGCAAGGCUGAAACUUAAGGAUUGGCGGGGGAGCACCACAACAGGUGGAGCCUGCGGUUUAAUUUGGACUCAACGCCGGGAAGCUCACCGGAUAGGACAGCAGAAUGAUUGCCGGGCUGAAGACCCUGCAUGACUAGCUGAGAGGAGGUGCAUGGCGUCAGUGACU
rnacentral:rRNA from 1 species